UACAGAGGUCUCAAGCGUUGUUCGGAUUCAUUGGGCGUAAAGGGUGCGUAGGCGGCGCGGUAAGUCGGGUGUGAAAUCUUGGAGCUUAACUCCGAAACUGCAUUCGAUACUGCCGUGCUUGAGGACUGGAGAGGAGACUGGAAUUUACGGUGUAGCGGUGAAAUGCGUAGAUAUUCGCAAGAACACCAGUGGCGAAGGCGGCCGACUGGUCCGGUUCUGACGCUGAGGCGCGAAAGCGUGGGGAGCAAACAGG
rnacentral:rRNA from 1 species